ACCCCCCAAAACCCCUAAAACCCUUAACCCUAACCCUAAUCCCAAAACGGUGGAACUGCACAUGCGCAGAAAGGCUCGAUAGGUAGCAUUUUUCGACAGAACACCGGCACUGCUAUAUCUUAAUCUUUAUCGUGCCACCAUUUCUCACAAGUUGCCAGUACUCUACUCAAAGACAAGCGUCACGCGAGAGUGGCGGGACACCGCGCGCCGUAUGGAGUCAGGAGCCGCUUGUGUAGAUCUUCAGAUUCAGCCUUUAUUGCCAAAUAAUUUACAAUGAAAAAAGAACGCCAACGUGAUACAAUUUUAUCAGCAACGAACACACGCACCGCAAACGAAAUUCAGUGAAAAGGGCGGGACACAGUCUGAGUAAAUCACAGUGUCUUAUGGACAGCUUUGUUCGGGCAGUUGCACUGUGUUCAGUUCAGCAAGCUGCUGAGUUGACCAACAGCAUUUUGAACAUGAUUGUCACAGACAUGCGCCCUCUGUCUAUGGUGGAAAACAAAUGCAGCGCGAUAUCCAACCCAGAAAAUGGUACAGGUUUGUAGGCAGAAGACAGGGAGAGGACAUGCAUAGGGCUAAGCGAAGUGGAAGACAAAGGUACAACCAAUGGAGUGAUGAAAGAAUGAAAUGUACAAUAAAUAAAUAUAGGGAAAGAGUGGGAGCAGACCAGGAACCAACGCUUUGGCGAGGGUGUGGUGUGUUCCAAUGCCCAGCCUUCAAAAAAAGGGUGGACUUUUGUUAUGCCUUUGGUAGGAAGCCAUUUCUAUCCGAAUCAUUUAAAAGAGAAUUAACUGUGAUGUUGAAGCUACUGUCACAGAGAGGUGUCCCACUGACUGAACAGGCCAACAAGAAACACAGAGUAGAGUUCAUAGCUACUUACGUUGGUUUUAAGGUGCAUAGCCUACAAGUACACACAUCCACAGACACACACUUUUAAAUUUCACUAAUACUUUGGCUGCUUUUUAUAUUUAAAAUUUGUUAAGAUUUUUGGUUUAUGGCUUGAGGAAAUAAUAAUAAACAUGACUAAAUUAUUACUGGAGUAUAAACCAGGCCAAAUAAUUAAAAUGGCAUGUCCCACUUUACCAACCAUACUGUCCCUAUUUACCUGAAAGAGCCUCUUGAGAAAGAAACUUGUACUCAUCUUGUUGGAAUGUCUGAAUCUUUUUAUUAAAACCUAUAUUGGCUCUAUUAACAGUGGUUAAGGACAGCAGAGACCGGUUCAAUCUUAUUAAACAGCACUACUGUAUGUGGAUAUAUGUUUUUAGAUACACUUUUAACAUUUAUCAAAAAGUGUCCCAUUUUCGCUGACUUCAUCCUAUUAUAACGAAAGUUUAAUGAUGAUCAGUGUAUUAAUUAUUUAAAAGAAAUUUUCGUGUUGCUGAAUAUUCAUAAGUCAACAGGCGAGCCAGCGCAUUUGAUGGGGGCGGGAACAUCGGUGUUUAAAAAUGACCAUUAAUUUUUAGAAAUCACAAAAUAUGACUAAUAUUACAACUACACGAAUCCCAUUGCAUCUGUACUUCCAAGAAUUGCAAAACAAGCCGGUUACGCCAUCUCCCUCAGAUGGACCGGAGCAGUAACUUCGCACAGUUUUUACCAGUUUGCUUUAUAAAUUAAAUGAGAAAUAAAAUCACGU